rnacentral:rRNA from 1 species
AUUGAACGCUGGCGGCAUGCCUUACACAUGCAAGUCGAACGGUAACGCGGGGCAACCUGGCGACGAGUGGCGAACGGGUGAGUAAUAUAUCGGAACGUGCCCAGUAGUGGGGGAUAGCCCGGCGAAAGCCGGAUUAAUACCGCAUACGACCUACGGGUGAAAGCGGGGGAUCGCAAGACCUCGCGCUAUUGGAGCGGCCGAUGUCUGAUUAGCUAGUUGGCGGGGUAAGAGCCCACCAAGGCGACGAUCAGUAGCUGGUCUGAGAGGACGACCAGCCACACUGGGACUGAGACACGGCCCAGACUCCUACGGGAGGCUG